GUCAGCAGCCCUAUCACCCUGCAACUCACAACUGGCAACCCACUGAAGCUAAGCAGGUGUGAGCUUGGUCAGUACCUGGAUGGGAGACCUCCUGGGAAAAGCUAAGGUUGCUGCUGGAA
ensembl:rRNA 5S_rRNA 5S ribosomal RNA